rnacentral:piRNA from 1 species
GUGUUUCUUGUCAAAUUCGGGAAC